rnacentral:rRNA from 1 species
GAUGAACGCUGGCGGCGUGCCUAAUACAUGCAAGUCGAGCGAACGGACGAGAAGCUUGCUUCUCUGAUGUUAGCGGCGGACGGGUGAGUAACACGUGGAUAACCUACCUAUAAGACUGGGAUAACUUCGGGAAACCGGAGCUAAUACCGGAUGAUAUUUUGAACCGCAUGGUUCAAAAGUGAAAGACGGUCUUGCUGUCACUUAUAGAUGGAUCCGCGCUGCACUAGCUAGUUGGUAAGGUAACGGCUUACCAAGGCAACGAUGCAUAGCCGACCUGAGAGGGUGAUCGGCCACACUGGAGCUGAGACACGGUCCAGACUCCUACGGGAGGCAGCAGUAGGGAAUCUUCCGCAAUGGGCGAAAGCCUGACGGAGCAACGCCGCGUGAGUGAUGAAGGUCUUCGGAUCGUAAAACUCUGUUAUUAGGGAAGAACAUAUGUGUAAGUAACUGUGCACAUCUUGACGGUACCUAAUCAGAAAGCCACGGCUAACUACGUG